GAUGAACGCUAGCGGCAGGCUUAAUACAUACAAGUCGUGGGGCAGCAUGGGUGUAGCAAUACAUUUGAUGGCGACCGGCAAACGGGUGCGGAACACGUACAGAACCCUCCUUCAAGCGGGGCAUAGCCCAGAGAAAUUUGGAUUAAUACCCCAUAAUAUAAUGAAGAGGCAUCUCUUUGUUAUUAAAGAUUUAUCACUUGAAGAUGGCUGUGCGGCUGAUUAGGUAGUUGGCGGGGUAACGGCCCACCAAGCCUGCGAUCAGUAACUGGUGUGAGAGCACGACCAGUCACACGGGCACUGAGACACGGGCCCGACUCCUACGGGAGGCAGCAGUAAGGAAUAUUGGUCAAUGGACGCAAGUCUGAACCAGCCAUGCCGCGUGGAGGAUGAAGGUCCUCUGGAUUGUAAACUUCUUUUAUAUGGGACGAAAAAAGGCUUUUCUAAGUCGUCUGACGGUACCAUAUGAAUAAGCACCGGCUAACUCCGUGCCAGCCGCCGCAGUAACAC
rnacentral:rRNA from 1 species